CCUACGGGAGGCAGCAGUAAGGGAUAUUGGUCAAUGGAGGAAACCCUGAACCAGCAACGCCGCGUGAGGGAAGACGGUUUUCGGAUUGUAAACCUCUGUCCUCUGUGAAGAUGAUGACGGUAGCAGAGGAGGAAGCUCCGGCUAACUACGUGCCAGCAGCCGCGGUAAUACGUAGGGAGCGAGCGUUGUCCGGAUUUACUGGGUGUAAAGGGUGCGUAGGCGGCUUGGCAAGUCAGUAGUGAAAUCCAUGGGCUUAACCCAUGAACUGCUAUUGAAACUGUGGAGCUUGAGUGAAGUAGAGGUAGGCGGAAUUCCCGGUGUAGCGGUGAAAUGCGUAGAGAUCGGGAGGAACACCAGUGGCGAAGGCGGCCUUCUGGGCUUUAACUGACGCUGAGGCACGAAAGCGUGGGGAGCAAACAGGAUUAGAUACCCGGGUAGUC
rnacentral:rRNA from 1 species